AAGAAAACUCAUUAAAUAUGC
rnacentral:sRNA from 1 species